rnacentral:misc_RNA from 1 species
CCGAGUUUACAACUCCCAAACCCCUGUGAACAUACCUAUAUGUUGCCUCGGCGGAUCAGCCCGCGCCCCGUAAAACGGGACGGCCCGCCGCAGGAUCACAACUCUGUUUUUAUUGUAACUUCUGAGUAACAAAACAAAUAAAUCA